rnacentral:rRNA from 1 species
CGGGAAUUUUGGGCAAUGGGCGAAAGCCUGACCCAGCAACGCCGCGUGAGGGAUGAAGUAUUUCGGUAUGUAAACCUCGAAAGAAUGGGAAGAAUAAAUGACGGUACCAUUUAUAAGCUCCGGCUAACUACGUGCCAGCAGCCGCGGUAAUACGUAGGGAGCAAGCGUUGUUCGGAUUUACUGGGCGUAAAGGGCGCAUAGGCGGCGCGGUAAGUCACUUGUGAAAUCUCUGAGCUUAACUCAGAACGGCCAAGUGAUACUGCUGUGCUAGAGUGCGGAAGAGGCAACCGGAAUUCUUGGUGUAGCGGUGAAAUGCGUAGAUAUCAAGAGGAACACCUGAGGCGAAGGCGGGUUGCUGGGCCGACACUGACGCUGAUGCGCGAAAGCCAGGGGAGCAAACG